rnacentral:lncRNA from 1 species
AAAACUUUCAACAUUCAUUGAUCAUCUUAUUAAUAUCAAAAAAAUCAGUCAGCUGUCCAGCUUUGUGCUCUACGUGCUGGGUGGAUGAUGGCUGCUCCCACACUUCCGAGUUACAGUUCCAUCUACAAGGAGGACACACUCAAAUCUCUCUUACGUCUGAUCUCACACUUCAGAAUGAGAAAUUCAUUUCAGUUUAAGCCAUCACCGGUUCAAUCAGCUAUGUUCAGGAGAUUGAGGCCAUAUGAUAAAGCAUAGCUAACAGUAAGAGGUAGCCUAGGGAAUUUCUUGGAGAGCAGAGGUUUUCGUGAUCUAGAUGGACUCCAACAUUGCUCAUACAGGAGGGAGUGGAGCUGCAGGUUCAGGUAAGAGCUGAUAAGUCCAAAUGCUCAGAAGUACUUGUGUGAUAAGGAUCCAGAGUUAGGUAGCUUUUAGUAUUCGGCUGUGUGAUAUGGAGCACACAUUUAGCUUUAUUUUUCUUAUUUGAGAAAUGAAGGCACUGGAUUCAAUUUUUUUUUUGGUUAUUCCUGCCCCUGGCAUUUCCUGAGUCUUGUAAUGUGCCAACUCCUAGGUUAAUCAGCUCUCCCACUUGCCUUCAACUCAUUCUCG